rnacentral:rRNA from 1 species
GAUGAACGCUGGCGGCGUGCCUAAUACAUGCAAGUCGAGCGAACGGACGAGAAGCUUGCUUCUCUGAUGUUAGCGGCGGACGGGUAAGUAACACGUGGAUAACCUACCUAUAAGACUGGGAUAACUUCGGGAAACCGGAGCUAAUACCGGAUAAUAUUUUGAACCGCAUGGUUCAAAAGUGAAAGACGGUCUUGCUGUCACUUAUAGAUGGAUCCGCGCUACAUUAGCUAGUUGGUAAGGUAACGGCUUACCAAGGCAACGAUGCAUAGCCGACCUGAGAGGGUGAUCGGCCACACUGGAACUGAGACACGGUCCAGACUCCUACGGGAGGCAGCAGUAGGGAAUCUUCCGCAAUGGGCGAAAGCCUGACGGAGCAACGCCGCGUGAGUGAUGAAGGUCUUCGGAUCGUAAAACUCUGUUAUUAGGGAAGAACAUAUGUGUAAGUAACUGUGCACAUCUUGACGGUACCUAAUCAGAAAGCCACGGCUAACUACGUG